CCUACGGGAGGCAGCAGUGGGGAAUAUUUGCACAAUGGGGGAAACCCUGAUGCAGCGACGCCGCGUGGAGGAAGAAGGUCUUCGGAUUGUAAACUCCUGUUGUUGAGGAAUGAUAAUGACGGUACUCAACAAGGAAGUGACGGCUAACUACGUGCCAGCA
rnacentral:rRNA from 1 species